rnacentral:rRNA from 1 species
UCGCAAGACUGAAACUCAAAGAAUUGACGGGGGCCCGCACAAGCGGUGGAGCAUGUGGUUCAAUUCGACGCAACGCGAAGAACCUUACCGGGGCUCGAACGGUAACUGCUACUCCUGGAAACAGAAGGUUCUCUUCGGAGACGGUUAUCGAGGUGCUGCAUGGCUUGUCGUCAGCUCGUGUCGUGAGAUGUUGGGUUAAGUCCCGCAACGAGCGCAACCCUUGCCCUUAGUUGCUAACAGGUAAUGCUGAGAACCCUAAGGGAACUGUCGGCGAAAAGCCGGAGGAAGGUGGGGAUGACGUCAAGUCCUCAUGGCCCUUACGUCCCGGGCUACACACGUGCUACAAUGGUCGGUACAAAGGGUUGCCAACCUGCGAGGGGGAGCUAAUCCCAAAAAGCCGAUCUCAGUUCGGAUUGCAGUCUGCAACUCGACUGCAUGAAGGUGGAAUCGCUAGUAAUCGCAGAUCAGCACGCUGCGGUGAAUACGUUCCCGGGCCUUGUACACACCGCCCGUCACAUCACGAAAGUGGGUUGUACUAGAAAUCGCUGAGCUAACCUGCAAGGGAGGCAGGCGCUUAAGGUAUGAUCCAUGAUUGGGGUG